rnacentral:rRNA from 1 species
CCUACGGGGCGCUGCAGUGGGGAAUAUUGGACAAUGGGCGAAAGCCUGAUCCAGCCAUGCCGCGUGUGUGAAGAAGGCCUUCGGGUUGUAAAGCACUUUCAGUGGGGAAGAAAGCCUUGGGGCUAAUACCCUCGAGGAAGGACAUCACCCACAGAAGAAGCACCGGCUAACUCCGUGCCAGCAGCCGCGGUAAUACGGAGGGUGCGAGCGUUAAUCGGAAUUACUGGGCGUAAAGCGCGCGUAGGCGGUCUGAUAAGCCGGUUGUGAAAGCCCCGGGCUCAACCUGGGAACGGCAUCCGGAACUGUCAGGCUAGAGUGCAGGAGAGGAAGGUAGAAUUCCCGGUGUAGCGGUGAAAUGCGUAGAGAUCGGGAGGAAUACCAGUGGCGAAGGCGGCCUUCUGGACUGACACUGACGCUGAGGUGCGAAAGCGUGGGUAGCAAACAGGAUUACAUACCCUAGUAGUC